AUCCUUCACUGGCAUGGGAGACACCAUGAUCAAAAACAUGGAUAACCAUUGUACUCCAGAUGUUCUGACUCUGAGAUUUCCCCAAAUGUGGAAAAAUCAACUGAAUAACUGAAUAAUCUUUGGUAGAAGAGUACAACAUGCAUCUACCUCCC
rnacentral:snRNA from 1 species